CCAGAAGAUCGGAUGGCUGCCCCGUUUCAUGUGCUUUGGCGCGUAAGACGGGGAGGAAAGUCCGGGCUUCACGGAAAAACGGCGCCGGGUAACGCCCGGGCGGCGCGAGCCGACAGACAGUGCAACAGAAAGUAAACCGCCUUGUUCCGGUGCUUCGGCUCCGGUACGGGGUAAGGGUGAAAGGGUGCGGUAAGAGCGCACCGCGCCUCUGGCAACAGCAGGCGGCACGGUAAACCUCGCCGGAAGCAAGACCAAAUAGGGGCGGCUUAUGAUGAUUUUUCCGCAUCGUCGCCCGGGUCGGUCGCUUGAGGCUGCCGGUAACGGUGGUCCCAGAUGAAUAGCCAUCACGCCCUGCAAACCUCCUGGAGGCUUGCGUUAAAGGCGUACAGAACCCGGCUUACAGAUCUUCUGGUAUU
rnacentral:RNase_P_RNA from 1 species